AAAAAGGCAAACCCUGGGUUUCCGUGUCCAACUUUGACUGUCCGUCUUAUAUGAAAUUUUUUUAUAAUUCGUAUUUUAAUUGUUGUUAGAUGAUAAAAUAUGAUUAAUAUUUUAUGCGUGACUUGUCUUUUUAAUUUUUUUCAUAUUUUUUUCAAAUAAGACGGACGGUCAAACGUUGGGCAUGGAAACCAGGGUUUGUCUUUUU
rnacentral:pre_miRNA from 1 species